CACGAAGCUGGAAUCGCUAGUAAUCGCGGAUCAGCACGCCGCGGUGAAUACGUUCCCGGGCCUUGUACACACCGCCCGUCACACCAUGGAAGUCUGCAAUGCCCGAAGCCGGUGGCCUAACCACUUAUGUGGAAGGAGCCGUCUAAGGCAGGGCAGAUGACUGGGGUGAAGUCGUAACAAGGUAAC
rnacentral:rRNA from 1 species